rnacentral:rRNA from 1 species
GUUGAACGCUGGCGGCAGGCUUAACACAUGCAAGUCGAGCGGAGAUGAGGUGCUUGCACCUUAUCUUAGCGGCGGACGGGUGAGUAAUGCUUAGGAAUCUGCCUAUUAGUGGGGGACAACAUUCCGAAAGGAAUGCUAAUACCGCAUACGUCCUACGGGAGAAAGCAGGGGAUCUUCGGACCUUGCGCUAAUAGAUGAGCCUAAGUCGGAUUAGCUAGUGGGUGGGGUAAAGGCCUACCAAGGCGACGAUCUGUAGCGGGUCUGAGAGGAUGCUCCGCCACACUGGGACUGAAACACUGCCCAGACUCCUACGGUAAGCAGCAGUGUGGAAUAUUGGACAAUGGGGUGAACCCUGAUCCAGCCAUGCCUCGUGUGUGAAGAAGGCCUUAUGGUUGUAAAGCACUUUAAGCGAGGAGGAGGCUACUGAGACUAAUACUCUUGGAUAGUGGACGUUACUCGCAGAAUAAGCACCGGCUAACUCUGUGCCAGCAGCCGCCGUAACAC